UCUUUGGAGUCUGGGGUGGUCGCAAAGAUCCCGGACGAGCCCCCAAAUGAAAGAACCUAGCUCGAGUCUCAGGAUGGCGCGCCCCAGGAAACACCA
rnacentral:pre_miRNA from 14 species